CGGGGUGCAGCAGGCGCGAAAACUUUACAAUGCCGGCAACGGCGAUAAGGGAACCUCGAGUGCCAGGUUACAAAUCUGGCUGUCGUGAUGCCUAAAAAGCAUUGCAUAGCAAGGGCCGGGCAAGACCGGUGCCAGCCGCCGCGGUAACACCGGCGGCUCGAGUGGUAACCGUUAUUAUUGGGUCUAAAGGGUCUGUAGCCGGCCGGAUAAGUCUCUUGGGAAAUCUGGCAGCUUAACUGUCAGGCUUUCAGGAGAUACUGUCUGGCUCGAGGCCGGGAGAGGUGAGAGGUACUUCAGGGGUAGGGGUGAAAUCUUGUAAUCCUUGAAGGACCACCAGUGGCGAAGGCGUCUCACCAGAACGGACCUGACGGCAAGGGACGAAAGCUAGGGGCACGAACCGGAUUAGAUACCCGGGUAGUCCUAGCCGUAAACGAUACUCGCUAGGUGUCGGCCACGGUGCGACCGUGGUCGGUGCCGUAGGGAAGCCGUGAAGCGAGCCACCUGGGAAGUACGGCCGCAAGGCUGAAACUUAAAGGAAUUGGCGGGGGAGCACAAGGGCGAAUCGCGG
rnacentral:rRNA from 1 species